rnacentral:rRNA from 1 species
GACGAACGCUGGCGGCGUGCUUAACACAUGCAAGUCGAACGGAAAGGCCCUGCUUUUGUGGGGUGCUCGAGUGGCGAACGGGUGAGUAACACGUGAGUAACCUGCCCUUGACUUUGGGAUAACUUCAGGAAACUGGGGCUAAUACCGGAUAGGAGCUCCUGCUGCAUGGUGGGGGUUGGAAAGUUUCGGCGGUUGGGGAUGGACUCGCGGCUUAUCAGCUUGUUGGAGGGGUAGUGGCUUACCAAGGCUUUGACGGGUAGCCGGCCUGAGAGGGUGACCGGCCACAUUGGGACUGAGAUACGGCCCAGACUCCUACGGGAGGCAGCAGUGGGGAAUAUUGCACAAUGGGCGGAGGCCUGAUGCAGCAACGCCGCGUGCGGGAUGACGGCCUUCGGGUUGUAAACCGCUUUCGCCUGUGACGAAGCGUGAGUGACGGUAAUGGGUAAAGAAGCACCGGCUAACUACGUG